rnacentral:rRNA from 1 species
GGAUAACCUGCCCUACCUGGGGGAUAAUCUCGGGAAACUGAGGAUAAUACCCCAUAGACCACUACGCCUGGAACGGUGAGUGGUUGAAAGCUCAGGCGGUGUAGGAUGGGUCUGCGGCGUAUCAGGUCGUAGGGGGUGUAAUGGACCUCCUAGCCAUCGACGCGUACGGGUUGUGGGAGCAAUAGCCCGGAGACGGAUUCUGAGACACGAAUCCGGACCCUACGGGGUGCAGCAGGCGCGAAAACUUCACACUGCAGGAAACUGUGAUGAGGGAACUCCAAGUGACUGCACAAUGUGUAGCCUUUUCUUGAAUCUUAAUAGUUCUUGGAAUAAGGGCUGGGAAAGACCGGUGCCAGCCGCCGCGGUAAUACCGGCAGCUCAAGUGGUCGUCGCUUUUAUUGGGCCUAAAACGUCCGUAGCCUGUUUGGUAAAUCUAUGGGUAAAUCAACGAGCUUAACUCGUUGAAUUCUGCAGAGACUGCCAGACUAGGGACCGGGAGAGGUAUGAGGUACUCUGGGGGUAGGGGUAAAAUCCUGUCAUCCUCAGAGGACCACCUGUUGCGAAGGCGUCAUACUGGAACGGAUCCGACGGUCAGGGACGAAGCCUAGGGGCACGAACCGGAUUAGAUACCCGGGUAGUCCUAGGUGUAAACGCUGUGGAUUUGGUGUGUGGGGUCCGCAAUGGGCCCCAUGUGCCGGAGUGAAGAUGUUAAAUCCACUGCCUGGGGAGUACGGUCGCAAGGCUGAAACUU